GCUUUUUAUGUCCGUCGUCAAAUCCCAGCGCUCAACUCUGGACAGGCGGUGGAAACUAUCAAGCUGGAGUACGGUAGGGGAAGAGGGAAUUUCCGGUGGAGCGGUGAAAUGCGCAGAGAUCGGAAAGAACACCAACGGCGAAAGCACUCUGCUGGGCCUGUUAA
rnacentral:sRNA from 1 species